GGCUUCAACCAGUCACCAGACCAUUGCUUAAAUGAAGCCAAGAAGAAGAAGCGGUAGAAGGAAGGGAAGAAGAGGGCCCUAGCCACACCGACUGGCGGAAUGGUGACGCCGCCGAAGCCCUAGAAGGCGGAGUACGCCAAGUCUGGGCGCUCCUCGUGCAAAUCGUGCAGGUCCCCCAUCGGCAAGGACCAGCUCUGGCUCAGCGAGAUGGUCCGGGCGGAGUCACCAGACCGUUGCCUGAAAGAAGCCAAGAAGAAGAAGCGGCAGAAGGAAGGGAAGAAGAGGGCACUAGCCACACCGGCCAGCAGAAUGGCGGCGGCACCGAAGCCCCGGAAGGGGGAGUACUCCAAGUUCGGGCGCUCCUCGUGCAAGUCGUGCAGGUCCCCCGUCGGCAAGGACCAGCUCUGACUCGGCAAGAUGGUCCAGGCCACCCAGUUUGACGGAUUCAUGCCCAUCCAUAACCGUAUCCCAUCCCCUCCACCGCACUCUUCGCCGGCAGUCUUUCUUCAUUUCCAUUGAUGAAUAUUUCUUUGAUCUUUAUUUAGGGUUUAGGAAGGUAGGGUUUUGGUGUGGCUUAUUGCUCUUGGAGUUUAUGAACUUGUUGUAUCGCGCAGGUCAGUUUUUUAGGGAUUUACCAUGAGAAUCUUCUGGUUUGAUUUGAUGUGGGAUCGGUUUUCAUCUUGAUGUGCAUUGCGGAUGUGGGUUUUGUGGGCAUUUACCAUAAUAAUCUCCUGCUUUGAUGGGUGAUUGGUUUUCAUCUCGAUGUGAAAAAAAUCUGUUUCUUUGGGCAAUUUCUCAUGAUUUCGGGCUUGAUCGAAUCGAUCUUGUAGUGUAGAAUUCUUGAUGCAUUUGGUUUGGUGCUAUGCAGAUUUGUUGCAUAAUCUGUCAAUCCCAACAUUGGAUUUAUUGCUGUUUCUGAUCCUAUCACACAUUCUAUACACAAGAAUAGAGAGAGUGCUCUUGUGGCUGAAACUUUGAUAUACGCAAUUUAACUGGUGUUUGAUAUACCAACCAUUUUCUCCUUAGUUUGUUCGUUAAUCUGUUCUUGUUCCUAUGAGUUAUGUGUGGUUUACAAAUUAUAAUCUACAUAUUGUUUUGGCAGCUUUGUUUUUUUUGUCUGCUCUUGUAAUUGUUUUGUGGGUGCAUGCGUGAUCUAGGUGCUUAAGUGUAUUACGAAAGCUAAAACUUGGAGGAGAAUCCUUAUUUGUAUUAUUUAUUUCUUAUCUUGCACAUUUGGAUGCUGAAGCUUAAUUGCUUUUUGGUUAGAUCACGUGCUCAUGUAGUGACGUGGGCACUCUAAUUAUUUCGUUGGCUCACUGGGAAAUGUACGAUCGUUUAGGGAAAACUGAUGUGAUCUUUCUGGAUCUGCAUGCCAAUUUUCACUUGAUCAUAUUCUUUUUAUUUUUGCAAUGGCCUUUAUAUAUAGGGAGGACUAACUUGACAUCUAAAGAACUAAUCUUUAACAUUGUAGGAAGUAGGAACCAAUCCAAGCUCUAUCUCUAACUACUUUCCUAAGUAGAUAAUCAUCUCCUAUGUUUGUUUACUUAUUCCUACUUUUGGAUGAGCCUGGCCCAUGCCCAUAACACGAGAACCAAGGACCACACUUGCCAGGCAAAGACAAUAAACCAAAAUAUGCUGAUAUUUGCUAUAUUGAUUUUUUUUCUUAUUUACUGACUCCUAUUUGAGUACUCCUAAGGAAUUACUCCCUCCGUCCUAAAAUGUAACUAUUUCUAGAGUUGGACAUGAGCUUUAAGAAAGCAUGUAAGGAAUGAUUGUGAUUGGUUGAGAAAAGAAUAUAGGUGAAAAAAAUGAAGAAUGGUUGUGAUUGGUUAAGGUGAGGAGGUAGGUGGAGGAAAUAACUUCAUUUUGAGACCAAUGGUGGAUGGUAGAAAUAGGUUCAUUUUGGGAUGGAGGGAGUACAAUGAUUACUGUGGUUAAUUCUAGAUAGGAAACAUUUGAUAAUUAGAGGUACAUGUGUGAUAUUUUUUCAUGCACUUGGCUCAUAAUGUAUGUUUUGAAGAUAUAUGAAUAUUAUAUAACUGUGAUAGGGCAACUUAUAUUGUAAUAACAUGGUCCUUGUGCUGACUCUAUAAUAACAUUGUCUAGGUUCGUAUUUCGUCUACGCUUGAAGGGCAAGGUUGGUACCAUACCAGUUGUUUUCUGGAGAUGUCCCCAGCUGCAAAUUUUGAGAAAUUCUCAGGCUGGGAGGUCCUGUCACAUAAGGAUAAAGGAGUCGUUCUUGAUCUUGUCAAGAAAGAUGCUCCUAAAACAGAACAAACAACUUCUAGGGUUCCAAGUGCAAGAAUAGUGACAAUGAUAUGCAUGACUGUAAAGCUCCCAAGAUAGACAGGAGUAUAUUAGAAGGCGCACAAAAUAAAGGGAAAGCUGUUGUAUCAUGUGAGUCCAAUGCUAGUUAUACUGACCUUCAAGAAAAGCUUAAAGAGCAUAGUGACACACUUUGGAAAUUGAAGGAUGAACUUAAGAAGCAUGUGUCAACUGCUGAACUAAGGAACAUGCUCGACAUACAUCUGGGCUAGAGCGGCAUCUAUUGGAUCGUUGUGUUGAUGGGAUGCUUUUUAGAGCAUUGGGUCCUUGCCCAGUCUGUUCUAGCAUCCUCUAAUAUCACGGUGGCCAGUAUCAUUUCAGUGGUUACGUAUCAGAGUGGUCCAAGUGUACUUAUUCUACUACAGAGCCUGUUCGCAGUAAAAAGAAGUGGAGAAUUCCUGAUGAGAUGGAUAGUGAUUAUCUUACAAAGCUACUAUAUACUUCAGGUCAUUGAAGAGGAUAAUGGGUCUGAUUGUUAUGUAUUCCGGAAGUGGGGACGAGUUGGGAAUGAAAAAAUUGGAGGCACUAAUUAGGAGGAGAUGUCAAAAACUGAAGCUAUUCAUGAAUUUAUAAGAUUGUUUCUAAAGAAGACUGGAAACCCCUAGGAAGCAUGGGAACAAAAAACAAAAUUCCAAAAGCAGCCUGGGAAAUUUUAUCGACUUGACAUAGACUACGGCGUUCGGCAAGGACCAAAGCGAAAAGAUAUUAAC